AGGGCGCAUGGUGAAUGCCUAGGCACUAGAAGCCGAUGAAGGACGUGACGAACCACGAAAGGCUUCGGGGAGCAGUAAGUAAGCGAUGAUCCGGAGAUAUCCGAAUGGGGGAACCCAAUACCGCGAGGUAUUAUCAAGAGCUGUUAAGGCUGUUGAAGGAAGACGCAGUGAACUGAAACAUCUAAGUAGCUGCAGGAAGAGAAAGAAAAAUCGAUUUCCCAAGUAGCGGCGAGCGAACAGGAAAGAGCCCAAACCAGCUGGCUUGCCAGUUGGGGUAGUAGGACUGCAAUAAAGUACUUGAAGCGAUAGCAGAAUUAUCUGGAAAGAUAAGCCAGAGAGGGUGAGAGCCCCGUAAGCGAAAUUGCAGAGAGACUUAGCAGGAUCCUGAGUAGGUCGGGACACGAGGAAUCCCGAUUGAAACCGCGAGGACCAUCUCGCAAGGCUAAAUACUAACUAGUGACCGAUAGUGAACCAGUACCGUGAGGGAAAGGUGAAAAGAACCCCGGAAGGGGAGUGAAAGAGAACCUGAAACCGUGUGCCUACAAGUAGUCAAAGCACAUUAAAGUGUAAUGGCGUGCCUUUUGUAGAAUGAACCGGCGAGUUACGUUAUGGUGCAAGGUUAAGUCAGAAAAGACGGAGCCGGAGCGAAAGCGAGUCUGAAGAGGGCGAGAGAGUAUCAUGACGUAGACCCGAAACCAAGUGACCUACCCAUGACCAGGUUGAAGGCGUGGUAAAACACGCUGGAGGACCGAACCCACGUGAGUUAAAAAUCGCGGGGAUGAGUUGUGGGUAGCGGUGAAAUUCCAAACGAACUUGGAGAUAGCUGGUUCUCUCCGAAAUAGCUUUAGGGCUAGCCUCGUGUGAAUGAUAAUGGAGGUAGAGCGCUGUUUGGACUAGGGGCCCGUCAGGGGUUACUGAAUCCAGAUAAACUCCGAAUGCCAGAUAUCAAUGCACGGGAGUCAGACUGCGAGUGAUAAGAUCCGUAGUCGAAAGGGAAACAGCCCAGAUCACCAGUUAAGGUCCCCAAAUCUAUGCUAAGUGGAAAAGGAUGUGGAGUUGCGUAGACAACUAGGAUGUUGGCUUAGAAGCAGCCACCAUUUAAAGAGUGCGUAAUAGCUCACUAGUCGAGUGACGCUGCGCCGAAAAUGUACCGGGGCUAAGCAUAGUACCGAAACUGUGGAUGCAUAUCAAAGGAUAUGCGUGGUAGGAGAGCGUUCUAAGAGCGGCGAAGUUAGAUCGAGAGGACUAAUGGAGCGCUUAGAAGUGAGAAUGCCGGUAUGAGUAGCGAAAGAUAGGUGAGAAUCCUAUCCGCCGAAAGACUAAGGUUUCCUGGGGCAGGCUCGUCCGCCCAGGGUAAGUCGGGACCUAAGGUAAGGCCGAGAGGCGUAGCCGAUGGACAACAGGUAGAGAUUCCUGUACUGAAAUUGUUCGAUAAGAGCAAAGGAGGGACGCAGGAGGCUAAUGACGCAUGUAGCUGGAAAAACAUGUGCAAGCAGUAAGAAAAAAGAUGAGUCAAAUGCUUAUGUUUAGAUUUCAAGCUGUGACGCGGAGUGAAAUCAAAGUAGCGAAGGUCAUGAUGUCACACUGCCAAGAAAAGCUUCUAGCCAGAGCAAUUUUACCCGUACCGCAAACCGACACAGGUAGUCGAGUGGAGAACACUCAGGUGAGCGAGAGAACUCUCGUUAAGGAACUCGGCAAAAUGACCCCGUAACUUCGGGAGAAGGGGUGCUGAGCGCAAGCUCAGCCGCAGUGAAUAGGCCCAGGCGACUGUUUAUCAAAAACACAGGUUUCUGCAAAAUCGUAAGAUGAAGUAUAGGGGCUGACGCCUGCCCGGUGCUGGAAGGUUAAGAGGAGUGCUUAGCGUAAGCGAAGGUAUGAAUUGAAGCCCCAGUAAACGGCGGCCGUAACUAUAACGGUCCUAAGGUAGCGAAAUUCCUUGUCGGGUAAGUUCCGACCCGCACGAAAGGCGUAAUGAUUUGGGCACUGUCUCAACGAGAGACUCGGUGAAAUUUUAGUACCUGUGAAGAUGCAGGUUACCCGCGACAGGACGGAAAGACCCCAUGGAGCUUUACUGCAGUUUGAUAUUGAGUAUCUGUACCACAUGUACAGGAUAGGUAGGAGCCUAUGACCUCGGGACGCCAGUUUCGAGUGAGGCGUUGUUGGGAUACUACCCUUGUGUUAUGGCUACUCUAACCCAGAUAGGUUAUCCCUAUCGGAGACAGUGUCUGACGGGCAGUUUGACUGGGGCGGUCGCCUCCUAAAAGGUAACGGAGGCGCCCAAAGGUUCCCUCAGAAUGGUUGGAAAUCAUUCGCAGAGUGUAAAGGUAUAAGGGAGCUUGACUGCGAGAGCUACAACUCGAGCAGGGACGAAAGUCGGGCUUAGUGAUCCGGUGGUUCCGCAUGGAAGGGCCAUCGCUCAACGGAUAAAAGCUACCCUGGGGAUAACAGGCUUAUCUCCCCCAAGAGUUCACAUCGACGGGGAGGUUUGGCACCUCGAUGUCGGCUCGUCGCAUCCUGGGGCUG
rnacentral:rRNA from 1 species